AGAGAGAGAGAGAGAGAGAGAGAGAGAUAGAGAGAGAGAGUUUUACAAAAGAAGGUUCCAAAUUCACAAAGCUCUCUCGGUCUUAAAGAUGCAAGGCAUGUGUAUUUUCUUCAUAUUAUUCACCACAUACAGCACAACUACAUCACAUACACGUGACUCGCUGAGACUACUGAUACAAGUCUUGCUACGAUAUCAUACGAGUGUCAUUAACAUCAUCCCGAAAUACCAGACCAGAUCUGCAACAAACAACGGUUCAUCUUUCUCACGUCAUUCCUGUUUGGAUGCUCUAAACCCCCCCCCCCCAAAAAAAAAAAAACAAAAAAAAACAAACAACAAAAC